rnacentral:rRNA from 1 species
AUUGAACGCUGGCGGAAUGCUUUACACAUGCAAGUCGAACGGCAGCACGGGGGCAACCCUGGUGGCGAGUGGCGAACGGGUGAGUAAUACAUCGGAACGUGCCCAGUCGUGGGGGAUAACGUAGCGAAAGCUACGCUAAUACCGCAUACGAUCUACGGAUGAAAGCGGGGGAUCGCAAGACCUCGCGCGAUUGGAGCGGCCGAUGGCAGAUUAGGUAGUUGGUGGGGUAAAGGCUCACCAAGCCUUCGAUCUGUAGCUGGUCUGAGAGGACGACCAGCCACACUGGGACUGAGACACGGCCCAGACUCCUACGGGAGGCAGCAGUGGGGAAUUUUGGACAAUGGGCGAAAGCCUGAUCCAGCCAUUCCGCGUGCAGGAUGAAGGCCUCGGGUUGUAAACUGCUUUUGUACGGAACGAAACGGACCUUUUCUAAUACUAGAGGGCUAAUGACGGUACCGUAAGAAUAAGCACCGGCUAACUACGUGCCAGCAGCCGCGGUAAUGUAUCG